rnacentral:lncRNA from 1 species
GCACUGGAGCUCAAAGGUGAAAGAGAAGGCUCCUCCAGAGAAGGGGACGGUCCCGUGGGGAGCUCAAGAAGAGACAAGCCACCCAAGCCCAAUGGGAGGACCGGACUACGAGACCCAAGAAUGGAGACGGUGAGUGGCCUGCACCUGUAGAGACCUGUGAGACGAGAGGCUCCAGAGCCAACAGCAUGCAAGGCCCGCAUGUGGGUAAGGAGAGCUGCAAGGCCGCAUGUGGGUAAGGAGAGCUGCAAGGCCCCAUGUGGGUAAGGAGAGCUGCAAGGCCCGCAUGUGCGUAAGGACAGCUGCAAGACCCCCAUGUGGGUAAGGAGAGCGGCAAGGCCCCAUGUGGGUAAGGAGAGUGGCAAGGCCCGCAUGUGGGUAAGGAGAGCUACAAGGCCCGCAUGUGCGUAAGGAGAGCUGCAAGGCCGCAUGUGGGUAAGGAGAGCUGCAAGGCCCCAUGUGGGUAAGGAGAGCUGCAAGGCCGUAUGUGGGUAAGGAGAGCUGCAAGGCCGCAUGUGGGUAAGGAGAGCUGCAAGGCCCGCAUGUGGGUAAGGAGAGCGGCAAGGCCCGCAUGUGCGUAAGGAGAGCUGCAAGGCCGCAUGUGGGUAAGGAGAGCUGCAAGGCCGCAUGUGGGUAAGGAGAGCUGCAAGGCCCGCAUGUGCGUAAGGAGAGCGGCAAGGCCCGCAUGUGCGUAAGGAGAGCUGCAAGGCCGCAUGUGGGUAAGGAGAGCGGCAAGGCCCCCAUGUGCGUAAGGAGAGCUGCAAGGCCGCAUGUGGGUAAGGAGAGCUGCAAGGCCCCAUGUGGGUAAGGACAGCUGCAAGGCCGUAUGUGGGUAAGGAGAGCUGCAAGGCCGCAUGUGGGUAAGGAGAGCUGCAAGGCCGCAUGUGGGUAAGGAGAGCUGCAAGGCCCCAUGUGGGUAAGGAGAGCGGCUCAGAGCCGCAGCCACCUGCUAGGGACAGCAGGGCUCCUGAGUGGCAGAUGCUCGCGCCCCCGGGCUGCGUGUGACGCCCUACACCCUUGGGACAGCAACGAAUGCCUCAGGGGACCUCAGCAACACAUUCGGAUUCUCGAAGCAAUGUGGGCAGAGUGCAGUGAGAGCUGCAAGAUGAGCACGUGACCUGCCGCGGACGAAAAGAACUGCAAGGGACAGUCGGCCCAGUGGCUCCUCCCCUGCGUGGGCCGAGAUGUUUUCUGCCCGUGACCUCAGCAGCACCCUUGUCAGUCCCCGCACGGCCUCUGCCCUCCUUCCCAGUCACCCUCGCCUUUGCUGUGUGGGCUGGUGCUCGGCCAGUCAGCAUACAACACCCUGUUCAGGUGGGGAUCGACGAUGAACAGGCUGCCUGGGAUCAGGCAAUGCUUUUUCCAAUAUGACCCCUAAUGCACAAGCAACCGAAGAAAAAAAAAAAAACAGAAAAAAUGGACUUCAAGAUGAAAACCUUUUCUAUUUCAAAGGAUGGCAUCAAGAGAGUGAAAGGACAGCCCAAAGAACAAGAGACAAUAUCUGCAAGUUCCAUCGCUGAUAAGGGACUCGCCUAAGAACUCCUACAAUUCAAUAAAAAGACAACCCAAUUAAAAUAUGGACAAAGGCUCUGAACAGACAUUUCUCCAAAGAAGACAAACGGGCAACAGACACAUGGAAAGACACUCAAUGUCGUGAGUCUUCAGGGAGGUGCAAGUGAAAGCUGCAGUGAGACAGUGCUGCACACCCACCAGGAUGGCUAGCAUUUGUAAGACGGGGAACUGCAGGUACUGACGAGGAUGUGGAGAAAGGGGGGCUCUUGCACGCUGCUGGCAGGAAUGCAAGAUGGUGCAGCGGCUUUAGAAAAAAAGUCUGGCAACUCCUCAAAAACUUAAACACAAAGCGGUAUUUCACACAUAGGUACACUCCCAACAGAAAAAAAAAAAAAAAACGAAAAAAAAAACUACGUCGCACAAACCCCAUACCCAAAUACUCAGAGCAGUGCUGUUCACAACAGCCAAAAAGUGGGACCACCACAAACGCCCACCAGCUGAGGAAGACAGAAACACAACUGGUCUAGCCACACCACAGGACACUGCUCAGCCACAAGCAGGAAUGAGUCUUGAUACCUGCUACAGCGCUGGUCAAUGAACCCUGAAAAGACGACACUGAGUGAAAAGAGUUGGACGCCAAGGACCCACUCGUACUGUGCGAUCCCAUUGAAAGGACAUGUCCAGAACAGGCCGAUCCACAGAGCAGCCCGGCCGCCAGCAGCCUAGGGGCAGGUGAUGAACGCGGGUGACUGCUGGUGGGAGUGGGGUUUUGCUCUAGGGUGAUGGAAAUGUUCCGGAACCUGCACAGCCUUGUGAAUACACCAAAAACCACUGCGCUCUACACUAUAAAGUGGAGAAUGUUAUGUGAAUUACGUCUCAGUGAACACAAAAUUAGCAGGUUGAUUCAGAACCCAUUCCAGACCGUCAUCAAAGAGAAAUGGGACAAGUGGAAAGAGUCCGUUACACAGUAUCUUUAAGCUUCAGACGGGUAAUACAUAUUUAUUGAAAAUUUUCUU